rnacentral:lncRNA from 1 species
ACGUGGUUGUGUGUCCUUGGGUUUAUUGUGCGUGACUCCAUGUCUGCUUUCCACGAAUCUUCAUCUAUUGAAAAGGAAAAAGGCAGAGCUAUUUCUCUUCAAUCUUUUCAAGUACUCUUCAAUUUCAAGGUAAUUUUUUCUUCUUUCCCUGCCUUCCUCUUCAUUUUUUUAGAUCUGAUUUCUUGUGAUAAGUGGUUCUCUUCAGAGCUUCAUCGCAUUUGGCUGAACCGAUUUAUAAAUCUUUGGUUUUUAGAUUUAGUUUUAUGGGGUGAUGAAGUUUGAAUUUGAGAAGACGCAAUAAAAAAUAAAACGAACUAAACUUCAAUGUUGAGACACAACCCCCAACUAAUUAGAGUUCUGCCAGUUAAGUGUUUUCCUAAAAAUAAUAAAUAUGUAGAUUGUUAAGUAGAAAUUGUCAUCAGUUACCAAAGCGGUGGUCCACAUAGUAACCUUUGUAUUUAACGAUAUCUAUUCAAAGACUAAUAUUAGGAUUAAAUUAGAAUACAUUUUGUUAAGCCACCACAACUUGGCUAUUUAUAUAUGUAAAUUGUAAAGGGAAGGAAAAGACACAUUUUGCUUUUGAUUAGCCAUAGUUUUUGAGGAGGUUGUAUGAACAUAUAGGGAAAAGAAUUACCGUUGUGCCUUUUAGGCAAGCUUCGUGUGAUGAGUUUUGUACCUGAAACUUCGCAGGUAAAAGAUUAGCAAUUCAACUAAUUCCAUAAGCAUUUAGAAUAACUUCAUUGGAAGAUUUGAUAGUAUAGAUCAUUUACAAUUAGCUAAUAUAGUGAUAUAACAAGAAAUUAAUAACAAAAGAGAUUUGUAAAUAAGAUAUGAACUACCCCUGAGUUAUGGGGAAAUUCGGAUGCUAAGCUUGCCCUGUCUAUCGUAUCGUCGGGAUGGUACCUCGUUUCCUUAUUCAUCGUCAACCAUUGCUUGAUGUCUGCCUCUGCAAUCAAGCGUUCCGCUGCAACCCACACACACAAGUAUGUGAUAAACAUGUGCAUCGAGGUUGGAGCAUAUAGGCUCACACUUGGUGUCCUUCAGAAAAAUUUGUAUUCCUGCAGUCCAAUGUUGUUAGUGUCAUUUUCCUAUAUGUACCACAUAUAUUGCUUCAUUAUUGAUGCUCUUCUUAUUUUAACGUAAUUCCAAUGAGAAGUAGUAUUUGUUUUGCUUAAAGAGGCUGAAGUGUCCAUUCCUUCCAUGAUCAAGUGAUUUUAAGUACUACCAGGCAUCCUCCCACUUUCAUCCAUCUUUAUUACGUUAUGUUUCCAUCACAAUCAAAAUGCAUCAGUAUAAUCCUUGCACUAACAAAAAUCUAUUUGAAUCUAUCUAAUUCUCAGCUCAUCGAUCAGUUUAAUGCAUAUGCACCUAUAAAAGGAAUAAGUGUGUUUUAUGUUCGUAUAGUUUGAUUGUUAUAUUAAUUCCUCCUGUUCACAUAAAAGACAUUUUUGUUACACUCGAAAAUUAUGACUUACCUGGCUAAAAUUUUGGAUUCAUAUCGAUGGGCACUUGAUUGAGUAAUUUCCAAGUUUGUUUUUUCUUCUACAAAAUUCUUAGUGGCUAAAUAGAUGGUUCAUCUGUAUAUGUAUGAUGCCACCUAAUGACAAUGUUGGACUACACUCCUCUCUUUUCUAAAAGAGAGUAGAUUGUACAUGUUAAGAUCUGUUAUAUUUAUUUAAUUCCACUCUUAGUUGUGAUGACAUUUUCUCUGUGUAGCGUACCAAAAAUGAAGAGGCAUAACACUUGAAGAGGCCCUACUACUAAAGUAAUUCCACAUGACAAGUUUCCGUUUCAUUGUUAGAAUGAAUUUUUUUCCAGUUUAGAGAAUAUUAGUUUAUUCAUAGAUGUAUACGUGGUUAUAGUGUCAUUGUGUUAUUUGGCAACUCUUCCCCUCUAUGUGGGGAAAACUCAAAUAACCAUAUUGGUUCCUUCAGAGAUGUAUAGUUAUUAAUUAAUAACAUUCAAGUAGCAUGAGGUGGUUAUAGUGUCACAAUUAUGUUAUUGGCAAAAUUGAUGUAUUUAAGCUAUCAUACAUUUUUUAAGGAAUUGUAUCUUAGUCAUGACAUAAUUAAUCAUGUUUGCUGAAAAUAUGUUGAAAUCUUUUUGCUUGAGAUUUCAGUCUCAAUGUAUGAUUAGUUAACAUUAGUUGAAGGAAAAGUUUCUUCGUUCAAAAGUAA